GAGGAAUAUUGGUCAAUGGGCGCAAGCCUGAACCAGCCAUCCCGCGUGCAGGAAGACGGCGCUAUGCGUUGUAAACUGCUUUUCCAGGGAGAGAAACUUGCGCACGUGUUGCGCAAUUGACGGUACCCUGGGAAUAAGCAUCGGCUAACUCCGUGCCAGCAGCCGCGGUAAUACGGAGGAUGCGAGCGUUAUCCGGAUUCAUUGGGUUUAAAGGGUGCGUAGGCGGACUAUUAAGUCAGUGGUGAAAUCCUGCAGCUUAACUGCAGAACUGCCAUUGAUACUGAUAGCCUUGAGUUUGGUUAAGGUAGGCGGAAUGUGUAAUGUAGCGGUGAAAUGCUUAGAUAUUACACAGAACACCAAUUGCGUAGGCAGCUUACUGAGCCGACACUGACGCUGAGGCACGAAAGCGUGGGGA
rnacentral:rRNA from 1 species